rnacentral:rRNA from 1 species
CCUACGGUGCGCAGCCGUCGAGAAUCAUUCACAAUGGGGGAAACCCUGAUGGUGCGACGCCGCGUGGGGGAAUGAAGGUCUUCGGAUUGUAAACCCCUGUCAUGUGGGAGCAAAUUAAAAAGAUAGGACCACAAGAGGAAGAGACGGCAAACUCUGUGCCAGCAGCCGCGGUAAUACAGAGGUCUCAAGAGUUGUUCGGAAUCACGGGGCGUAAAGCGUGCGUAGGCUGUUUCGUAAGUCGUGUGUGAAAGUCGCGUGCUAAACCCGCGGACGGCACAUGAUACUGCGAGACUAGGGUUAUGUAGGGGGAACCGGAAUUUUCGGUGUAGCAGUGAAAUGCGUAGAUAUCGAGAGGAACACUCGUGGCGAAGGCGGGUUCCUGGACAUUAACUGACGCUGAGGCACGAAGGCCAGGGGAGCGAAAGGGAUUAGAUACCCGGGUAGUC